rnacentral:rRNA from 1 species
UACGUAGGUAGCGAGCGUUGUUCGGAAUUACUGGGCGUAAAGGGCGCGUAGGCGGCCAACUAAGUCAGACGUGAAAUCCCUCGGCUCAACCGGGGAACUGCGUCUGAUACUGGAUGGCUUGAAUUCGGGAGAGGGAUGCGGAAUUCCAGGUGUAGCGGUGAAAUGCGUAGAUAUCUGGAGGAACACCGGUGGCGAAGGCGGCAUCCUGGACCGAGAUUGACGCUGAUGCGCGAAAGCCAGGGGAGCAAACGGG